rnacentral:rRNA from 1 species
GACAGAGGUGCCGAGCGUUAGGCGGAAUCACUGGGCUUAAAGCGUGUGUAGGCGGAUGCCUAAGUACCUUGUGAAAUCCCACGGCUCAACCGUGGAACUGCUUGGUAUACUGGGUGUCUUGAGCCAUCUAGGGGCUACCGGAACAAAUGGUGGAGCGGUGAAAUGCGUAGAUAUCAUUUGGAACGCCAAUGGUGAAAACAGGUAGCUGGGGAUGUGCUGACGCUGAGACGCGAAAGCGUGGGGAGCAAACAGG